rnacentral:lncRNA from 1 species
AAAGUCGUGAAGUUGCCACUCAGUGACUACAUCCUUGGCUGGAGGCGGGGCCCCGCUUCCUGCUGAUGUGCUGCAGCUGUGCGUGACCAGACCACAGGACCGAGCGGGUGGGGUGCUGAAGGGCGGGAAGGGGCUUCAGGAAGAACGCUCAGUUGGAGCAAAGGCUCCCAACCAGUGCUGACAUCGUCAAAAGUUGGCUUGGCACGAAGCAGGCAGGGUCAGUCAGGCAAGGGAUAGGGGCUGUGAUUAUUGGGCUGGGGAGCUCGGCUCUUGCCAUUACAGUUUUUGAAACAAAUUUGCGUCAGUUACCAGCAUUUAAAGUUUGGGGAAUAGGAAUCUAAUAGUACAAACUAUUCCAGAAGAGGAUUUUGAGCGUGGGGCGCACUGGGACACUGGAUGUUC